AAAUGUAAGUGUGCUAAUACCACAUUUAUUUGACGAAGGCUCCAAAGGAAGCCACGGCUAACUCUGUGCCAGCAGCCGCGGUAAUACAGAGGUGGCAAGCGUUGUUCGGAAUUAUUGGGCGUAAAGAGCACGUAGGUGGGUUUGUAAGUCAGAUGUGAAAGCCUUCUGUUCAACGGAAGAAUUGCAUCUGAAACUGCGAGUCUUGAGUGUAGGAGGGGAGAAUGGAACUUCUGGUGGAGCGGUGAAAUGCGUAGAUAUCAGAAGGAACGCCGGCGGCGAAAGCGAUUCUCUGGCCUAUUACUGACGCUCAGUGUGCGAAAGCUAGGGGAGCAAACGGGAUUAGAUACCCCGGUAGUCCUAGCCGUAAACGAUGGGCACUAAGUAGAGGGAAUUACCGAUGUUCUCUCUGCCGUAGCUAACGCAUUAAGUGCCCCGCCUGGGGAGUACGGCCGCAAGGCUAAAACUCAAAAGAAUUGACGGGGGCUCGCACAAGCGGUGGAGCAUGUGGCUUAAUUCGAUGCAACGCGAAGAACCUUACCGGGGCUUGACAUGGUAGAAGUAGGAACCCGAAAGGGUAACGAACGGUAUCCAGUCCGUAACUAUCACAGGUGUUGCAUGGCUGUCGUCAGCUCGUGUCGUGAGACGUUGGGUUAAGUCCCCUAACGAGCGAAACCCUUGUUUUUAGUUACCAGCGGGUUGUGCCGGGUACUCUAGAAAGACUGCCGUCGUCAAGACGGAGGAAGGUGGGGAUGACGUCAAGUCAUCAUGGCCCUUAUGCCCCGGGCUGCACACGUGCUACAAUGGUCGGUACAAACGGAAGCGAAGCCSAGAGGUGAAGCGAAUCCUAAAAAGCCGAUCUCAGUUCGGAUUGGAGGCUGAAAUUCGCCUCA
rnacentral:rRNA from 1 species